CAUGGGUGGCGACAUUAGAAAAAAAAAAUGUUCAGUUGAAUUUUAUCACCUUUUUUUAUUUUCCAAAAUUGUAAAAUUCAACCUAAAAAUUGUGUUAAAGCCUAAUUUGUAGUAUCUGGUUUGGAUGGUGGUCUGUGAGGCAAUGAAGGAUGAGGAAUUGGAUGAGCAUGGCGAGAGGCGUUGCAGUAGCAAACUCCACUCAUCUCCUACCCACCACGUCUCUGCUUCCGCUUUCCUCCGCCUCCUCUACACUCAAUCACAAAACCAUAUCUUUCUCUUUCACCAGAACGCCGCCGCCCCCGUAUCUCAUUUCUGUUCUCACUCCCCGUCGCCGCCUCCUUUCUUCUUCUCCCGCCGCCGCUGAUCACAAUUUCUCUGAUUCCGCAGGAGAAGAAGAAGAAGAAGAAGAAGGUCACUGCGUUUCGACUUCAAUGAAAGGUUCAGAGGUUCUUCUUAAAGGGUUGACUUACCCCGAGCUUGAAAAAUGGGUUCAAUCACAUGGAUACAGGCCUGGGCAGGCAAUGAUGUUAUGGAAGCGUAUAUAUGGAAACAACAUUUGGGCCAAUCAUGUUGAUGAGUUGGAAGGUAUAAACAAAGAUUUCAAGAAGAUGUUGAGUGAAAAUGCCAAGUUCAAAGCACUUGCUCUGAAAGAAAUUCACACAGCAUCGGAUGGUACUAGGAAGAUUUUAUUCACGUUGGAUGACGGCCUGGUCAUAGAAACAGUUGUCAUACCUUGUGAUAGAGGCAGGACUACAGUGUGUGUUUCAAGUCAAGUUGGAUGUGCCAUGAAUUGUCAAUUUUGCUAUACUGGAAGAAUGGGUCUUAAGAGACAUCUUACUGCCGCAGAAAUAGUAGAACAGGCUGUUUUUGCUAGACGGCUUCUCACAAGUGAUGUUGGCUCCAUUACGAAUGUUGUCUUUAUGGGCAUGGGAGAACCACUUCAUAACAUUGACAAUGUCAUUAAAGCUGCAAAUAUUAUGGUGGAUGGACAAGGGCUUCAAUUCAGCCCCCGCAAGGUCACUGUUUCAACUAGUGGGCUUGUUCCGCAGCUCCGGCGUUUCCUCCAUGAAUCCAACUGUGCAUUAGCUGUUAGUUUGAAUGCAACUACUAAUGAGGUAAGAAACUGGAUCAUGCCUAUAAAUCGGAAGUAUAAACUGGAACUGCUUCUUGAGACUCUUCGGGAGGAGCUUUCCUUAAAAAACAACUACAAAGUUCUAUUUGAGUAUGUGAUGCUUGAAGGAAUCAAUGACAGCAAUGAAGAUGCAGAGAGGCUUAUCAAGCUCGUGAAGGGCAUUCCUUGCAAGAUCAAUCUCAUCUCGUUCAAUCCGCAUAACGGGUCCUUCUUCAGACCUACCAAAGAUGAAAGGAUGAUUGAAUUCCGAAAUACAUUGGCUGCAGCAGGAGUUGUGGUUUUUCUACGACUCAGUAGAGGCGAUGAUCAGAUGGCUGCUUGUGGUCAAUUAGGGAAGCCUGGAACCAUUCAAGCUCCAUUGCUCCGUGUACCAGAACAAUUCCAAAUUGCAGUUGGAAGUUCAGCGUGAUGACUCAGCUUUACAAAUUGAACUCUAUCUGUUAUUAAGGAUUUCCAUUGGACACUAGUGACUUCAAAUUGGGAAUGGGAUGUGAUGGGGUGGCCAUAGUUGACUGCAUAUCGAGAAUGCAGCAUUUGAGAGGAUCCAAAUUGCGGAAAUUUGUGGAUUUUUACAAGAAAAACAUGAUUCUACCAGCCCUCCGCAAACCUGAGCCGAUUUCGACAUUAAGAUUAUGAUAUUGUAGGUGAAAGAAGUAUUUUGCAAAGAAGGAUCCAUGUAAUUCCAGGUGUGAGAAAAAAGCUCAAAUUCACAAUUGUGUUUUAAGAAAAAAAUUGCUUGAGGAUAGUUACGGCCGUUUUUGUGCAACAAUUUUAUGGGAUAUUUGUUGAGUCAUUUUCUUAUAGUCGGUGAGUUCAUCAAAUAAUAUGUGAACCCAUAGCUGGAUACUAUGUUUAAAUUUUUACUUUUUUAAAAUUAAAUUGCUUAUGAA